GGAAGGAUCAAUACGAGUUAAUACCACCAGCCGCCAGCCACGUAGUGGAUGGGGGGUGAGUGGAAAGGUGGGGUGGGGUAAAAGCCACUCUACCACAUAUGCACAGGGUGUCUUGAUGGGUUGGAUUAGUUAUCUAUCUGACUCGCAAGGGACCCUGAUGUUUACGCUUGUAAGUUUGACAGAGUCUAGUAUCACUUAUAAUGACAACUUUUAACAAUGGAUCUCUUGGCUCUUGCAACGAUGAAGAACGCAGUAAAGUGCGAUAUGUAGUGCGAUUUGCAUGAAUCUGUGAGUCAUUUAAUCUUUGAACGCAACUUGCGCCCCUUGGGGCAUGUCUGUUUGAGGGCCAUGAAACUUGUAUGCGGUGGGUGGGUGUGUGCAGUACGGUACAGUUUUGUAUUGUAUUGUACAGGCCUGGCACAUUGCAAGCGUAUUGACGGUAGUCUGUUGACGUUGGUCUGGUAACAGUCUCGUCGUCUCUAGACUCUGUUUAAAGGUAGCCAGUGACCGCGACGGCGUCCAGCCCUAGUGCUAAGCAUUCUUGGAUUGGGCGGUGGAGCGAAAGUGUGGGUGGAGGUAGAUGUAGAGGUAGGUGGGAAUCCAUCCAUCAUCAUCAUCCAUCAUCCACACCCUUUUAUCCAAGGCCUCAAAUCAGUCAAGACUACCCGCUGAACUUAAGCAUAUCAGUAAGCGGAGGAAAAGAAACUAACAAGGAUUCCCCUAGUAACGGCGAGUGAAGCGGGAAAAGCUCAAAUUUAAAAUCUCGGCACACGGCGUGUCGCGAAUUGUAGUCUAAAGAGAGGACGGUCUAGGUCAAAGAGGUGCUCAAGUCCCUUGAAAUAGGGCGCCAAAGAGGGUGAGAGCCCCGUGACAGCACCUCGUACACCGCAAGUGAUCACCUCUCGACGAGUCGAGUUGUUUGGGAAUGCAGCUCAAAGUGGGUGGUAAAUCUCAUCCAAGGCUAAAUAUUGGCAAGAGACCGAUAGCGAACAAGUACCGUGAGGGAAAGAUGAAAAGCACCUUGAAAAGGGAGUUAAACAGUGCGUGAAAUUGUUAAAAGGGAAACGAUAGAGACCAGAGUUGGAGGGAGCUUUAAGCCGGAGCCUCGGUUCCGGUAGCGAGAACCCUCCGAGUCAAUGCCAGUUGCAGCAGCCGGAUAUAGGCAAGAGAAAGGUGGUGUCGGCUCUCGGGUCGACGCAUUAUAGGCUCUUGACACUUGCGGCAGCAGCGACCGGAAGCGAGGUGGGGAGGGCGAAUGUACCUAGUCAGUUGGCUUGGUUAAUUCGCAAAUCGCCCUCACAACGCGCCUUUGACAAAAUGUUCUUUAACGACCCGUCUUGAAACACGGACCAAGGAGUCUAACAAUCUUGCAAGCAUUAGAGUGGCAAACUCGGGUGCGUAAUAAAAGUAAAAGCGUGCGAGCGACGUGGUUCAUCCACCCGUGCAGCACGGACCGGCCUCUCGCUAUUGAUAGGACCGAGUAAGAGUAGGAUUGUUGGGACCCGAAAGGCGGUGAACUAUGCCUGACUAGGGCAAAGCCAGAGGAAACUCUGGUGGAGGCUCGUAGCCGUUCUGACGUGCAAAUCGAUGGUAAAAGUUGGGUAUAGGGGCGAAAGACUAAUCGAACCGCCUAGUAGCUGGUUCCUUC
rnacentral:misc_RNA from 1 species